ensembl:lncRNA
UUCACUUCUCCUCCUCUCCGUCUGCAGGCCGACCUGUUUCCUGGUGCCCUGGUGUACUUUGGAUCUGACGCUAAGACAGAUUUUUACAUGAAGACGGACCUGCUUGAGUCGUCUGUCUCUGCCUUACAAGCUAAUGAGUCCAUUGCCAGCUGCAUGCAGCGCUCCCCGACGGCCUCCUCCGCCUGUGAAGGCUCAGAGGAGCCGCUGCCCCCUCCGGAGCCCACGGAGGAAACCAGCGGGUCCACGCGGGGCGAGGCAGACCCUACUGCACCCACCCGGGCGGCUAGGCCCACCGGGUCUGACCCGGGAAAGGUGCCCAAGUGGCUCAAGCUUCCAGAUGGAGUGUGGACUGUGCGCAUCGGUAGGACGAGUGCAGCUGGUUUAUCGCUAAUGCAAGUAUCCAAAGGCUCACACCGUCCCGUCCGGCUUCAGGGUCAGAAGGAUUCUAUCUGGCUUCUUAAGCGCCUCAUCGUGACUUCCUGUGACACAUUGGUCACACUUGACAGAUAUUGUGGUCCCUGAUCUAGUUCUGCAGUACACGUGGGAGAUGUCUUUGCUUGUCAACAACUUAUUUUUUCUUUGUGUGCAGCAAAACAUGUUACACAAGCAUGUGUGUUUCUGGUGGCGGCUGCACUGAUGGUUUUGUUUCUCCCAUUUUUUUCGUGUGCGCGUUUUAAUUUCUGGUUGAU